rnacentral:rRNA from 1 species
UACGGAGGGUCCAAGCGUUAUCCGGAAUCACUGGGCGUAAAGGGCGCGUAGGUGGUCUGUUAAGUCUGGCGUUAAAGCCUGGGGCUCAACCCCAGAUCAGCGUUGGAUACUGGCAGGCUAGACGGUUGGAGAGGCGAGUGGAAUUACCAGUGUAGCGGUGGAAUGCGUAGAUACUGGUAGGAACACCCAUUGCGAAGGCAGCUCGCUGGACAACACGUGACACUGAGGCGCGAAAGUGUGGGGAGCAAACCGGAUUAGGAUACCCGCGUA